rnacentral:rRNA from 1 species
AUGUUCUCUGCCGCUGUUGUGGUUGCCGCGCUGCUGCCGCCGUUGUGCGCCGUGGCGCGUGCACCGGCUCCGGCAGCUACCCAGGGGGGGAGUGGCUGCACCACCCACUGCGGCAACAUCAGCAUCCCGUACCCGUUCGGGGUGGAGCCUGGCUGCUACCACGAGAGCGGCUUCAACCUCACCUGCAACCAGUCCUACAGCCCGCCCCAUCUCUUCCUCGGCGACGGCACCGUACAGGUGCUCGACAUCGAUCUGCCCAACGGCACGGUGCGUAUCAACAGCACCUCGCUGGAUAUCCUCUAUGACGACAUCGGAAACGUAAGCCGCCUCACAUGGCGCGCCGGCGGCCUGGGAUACGCCGGCGACGGGCCAUACUUUGUUGCCGGAGCAGGGCAGAACAACUUAGUAGCACUCGGAUGCGGCGUCCAAGUCAUCCUCUUGGGACAGAACAACACCCUUGUCAGCUCUUGCUCUCCUUUCUGCCCGGGCACAGGUUACAUGGAUAUGAGGACCUGCUCCGGCAUCAGCUGCUGCCAGGCAGCCAUACUUGAGGAUCGCGCUUCCUACGGACUCCAGGUUCAACGGGUUGGUUUCGGUGAUUAUAGAUACCAGGUCAAUGUGUUAAUUGUGGAAUCGGACUAUUUGCUUAACUUGACGGAGUAUUCUUAUCAAAAUAACGCGUACACAGCCCCCACAAUGCUGACCUGGGCGAUCAACAGCUCGAUAUGUGAUACCAGUGGGUCGUCGCCUUCGUGCCGCAGUGAUCACAGUUUCUGCCAAAACUACACGUGUGCUGGUGGUUACCAGGGCAAUCCAUACAUCUCCCAUGGCUGCUAUGAUAUCAACGAAUGUGAUUAUCCAGACAUCUAUCCAUGUUACGGCAAUUGCAGAAACACACAGGGAGAAUAUGAUUGUCAGUGCCCUCCUGGCUUCAUGGGCAAUGCUUCUACACCAAAUGGAUGUGAAGGUUUGGGCAUAGGUCUUGUGGCUAGUGGCAGCUCAAUCAUUUUACUUUUAGUGCUCGCCACCCCGUUUAUAGCACGCAAAAUGAAGUUAAAUAGGGCAAACAAACUGAAAAGAAGAUUGUUCAAGCAAAAUCAUGGGUUGCUAUUGCAACAACUAAUAUCCCAGAAAACAGAUUUUGGUGAAAGGAUGAUCAUUCCUUUGUUGGAUCUAGAGAAGGCCACAAACAAUUUUGAUAGAACUCGUGAGGCUGGCGGCGGAGGCCACGGUGUUGUGUAUAAAGGAAUUUUAGACCUACAGGUUGUCGCCAUCAAGAAAUCCAAGAUCGUCGUACAGAGAGAAAUCGAUGACUUCAUAAACGAGGUUGCAAUUCUUUCCCAAAUCAACCAUAGAAAUGUUGUUAAGCUAAUCGGAUGUUGUCUUGAGACAGAAGUCCCAUUACUAGUUUAUGAGUUCAUUUCAAAUGGUACUCUUGAUCACCAUCUUCAUGUUGAAGGCCCAAUGUCACUGUCAUGGGAUGAUCGAACAAGGAUUGCGCUUGAAGUUGCUAGAGCUCUUUCUUAUCUCCAUUCUGCUGCUUCGAUGCCAAUUUAUCACAGGGAUAUUAAAUCAACCAACAUACUUCUUGAUGAUAAUUUGACAGCAAAGGUAUCAGACUUUGGAGCUUCAAGAUACAUCCCAAUCGACCAAACCGGGGUGACUACAGCCGUGCAAGGAACGAUAGGCUACUUAGACCCCAUGUACUAUUAUACCGGUCGCCUAACAGACAAGAGUGAUGUUUUCAGUUUUGGUGUUCUUCUUGUAGAACUCCUAACUAGAAGAAAACCAUGCCUCUACCGUAGUGGUGGCAACGACGAUGUUAGUCUCGUUUCACAUUUUGUUUCACUACUCGCAGAAGGCAACCUUGAUGAGAUAAUAGAUCCUCAACUCAUAGAAGAGGAAAAUGGGGAAGUCCAGGAGGUAGCUAUGCUAGCAGCGAUGUGCAUUAAAUUGAAGGGAGAAGAGCGGCCUACCAUGAGGGAAGUGGAGAUGAAACUUGAAAUUCUGAGAGUUAACAUGCGUGCGGCACCUGAUACUGCUGCACCAAGGAGAUAUGAUGGAGGUCAAGAUGGAUCUCUAUGGAUGCCAGCUGAAGGAGUUGUUGUGGAAGCAAGCAGGCAAUACACUAUGGAGGAAGAAAUAUUAUUGUCUGCAAGUUAUCCUCGAUGA